rnacentral:rRNA from 1 species
ACUCCUACGGGAGGCAGCAGUGGGGAAUAUUGCACAAUGGGCGCAAGCCUGAUGCAGCCAUGCCGCGUGUAUGAAGAAGGCCUUCGGGUUGUAAAGUACUUUCAGCGGGGAGGAAGGGAGUAAAGUUAAUACCUUUGCUCAUUGACGUUACCCGCAGAAGAAGCACCGGCUAACUCCGUGCCAGCAGCCGCGGUAAUACGGAGGGUGCAAGCGUUAAUCGGAAUUACUGGGCGUAAAGCGCACGCAGGCGGUUUGUUAAGUCAGAUGUGAAAUCCCGGC